UACGAAGGGGGCUAGCGUUGCUCGGAAUCACUGGGCGUAAAGGGUGCGUAGGCGGGUCUUUAAGUCAGGGGUGAAAUCCUGGAGCUCAACUCCAGAACUGCCUUUGAUACUGAAGAUCUUGAGUUCGGGAGAGGUGAGUGGAACUGCGAGUGUAGAGGCGAAAUUCGUAGAUAUUCGCAAGAACACCAGUGGCGAAGGCGGCUCACUGGCCCGAUACUGACGCUGAGGCGCGAAAGCGCGGGGAGCAAACAGG
rnacentral:rRNA from 1 species